GAAGCCUCCAUGCACAGCGCCAUCUGUGCGCCCCGCUUCUAAUGCUGAUCAACGGAGCAGGACAAGUGCAGGUGGACGGCGGUGGAGCCACAGAGCAGGUGGAGCAGUGUUUUCACUGUGUACCAUAGUUUGCCACCUCAUGGAUUUGUAGAAUCACAAGAACCUCCAUCUCCUAACAUUUUAUGGAAGAGACCUGCCUGCUGUAGGUAGGGAAAAAAAAAAAACAUCAAGAAAGCGAGAAGGAAUUGUUAAUGACUAUAUAUUGGCAACAAACGGAAAGCUAAGAUGAAGGAAGAGAGCCGGUCUCCUGUCCUGAUAUGUCUGUCUGGGUCGAUGCUUAAAAUCUUCCAUAAAAUAACAAGUCUGGAUCAUCAUUUCAUAAACUUAUAUCAUCAACAAAGAACCACCGACUCUGAAACGAGAAGAGCUCAAGAAUAUGCCAUAAGUGUGUAAUACAUGCUAGAGAGUGGUGGUCUCCAACCUGCCGAGGAGUCCGCCGACUGCCACAUACAGGCUGCGAUUGAAUGCAGAGGUCACCAGGAUUACGGAAAAAGCCAAGUUGUACAGAGUUGUCCGCAAGUCCCACAGAAGUGAAUAGGAGUUGCAUAAACAACAUAGCAGAGCCGACUCAGCGGUUUUCAUAAUAACAACCACCAUAGUGCUUUCUAUUCCAUUGUGCAUAUGGCUGCCUGGGAAAGUCAGGAGACCUCUGCUCAAGAUAUUCUGUGCAUAUGCCAUGAAUGUCCAACAUGAGAAUAAACAGACAAAUUUU